rnacentral:rRNA from 1 species
AGAGUUUGAUCAUGGCUCAGAUUGAACGCUGGCGGCAGGCCUAACACAUGCAAGUCGAACGGUAACAUUUCUAGCUUGCUAGAAGAUGACGAGUGGCGGACGGGUGAGUAAUGCUUGGGAACUUGCCUUUGCGAGGGGGAUAACAGUUGGAAACGACUGCUAAUACCGCAUAAUGUCUUCGGACCAAACGGGGCUUCGGCUCCGGCGCAAAGAGAGGCCCAAGUGAGAUUAGCUAGUUGGUAAGGUAACGGCUUACCAAGGCGACGAUCUCUAGCUGUUCUGAGAGGAAGAUCAGCCACACUGGGACUGAGACACGGCCCAGACUCCUACGGGAGGCAGCAGUGGGGAAUAUUGCACAAUGGGGGAAACCCUGAUGCAGCCAUGCCGCGUGUGUGAAGAAGGCCUUCGGGUUGUAAAGCACUUUCAGUUGUGAGGAAAAGUUAGUAGUUAAUACCUGCUAGCCGUGACGUUAACAACAGAAGAAGCACCGGCUAACUCCGUGCCAGCAGCCGCGGUAAUACGGAGGGUGCGAGCGUUAAUCGGAAUUACUGGGCGUAAAGCGCACGCAGGCGGUUUGUUAAGCUAGAUGUGAAAGCCCCGGGCUCAACCUGGGAUGGUCAUUUAGAACUGGCAGACUAGAGUCUUGGAGAGGGGAGUGGAAUUCCAGGUGUAGCGGUGAAAUGCGUAGAUAUCUGGAGGAACAUCAGUGGCGAAGGCGACUCCCUGGCCAAAGACUGACGCUCAUGUGCGAAAGUGUGGGUAGCGAACAGGAUUAGAUACCCUGGUAGUCCACACCGUAAACGCUGUCUACUAGCUGUGUGUGUCUUUAAGACGUGCGUAGCGAAGCUAACGCGCUAAGUAGACCGCCUGGGGAGUACGGCCGCAAGGUUAAAACUCAAAUGAAUUGACGGGGGCCCGCACAAGCGGUGGAGCAUGUGGUUUAAUU